rnacentral:lncRNA from 1 species
UCAAGGUCUUCGGGGACUCCGGCACCCGGGCGAGAUGCUGUGUGGACAGCUCCUCCGAUAGCGAAGGUCCCUCCUCGAGCGAGAGUGACGAGGAGGGGAGCGACAGCGAUGACGACGAGGAUGGCGGGUCCGACUAGGCGUCGGACGCUGCCUCGCGCGCCACCGGCGACCCCAUCAUCCGGGUCGCCGGCCUUCUGAACUCCCCGGGGCCGUCUCCUUGGGCGGCUGGCGUAGGGAGGCUGCGGAAGAGGAAGAGGGGUGGCGGCAAGGCCAUCAUGUCGGAGUACGAGGGCGAGGCGCCCUCGUCAGCGUGCUGACGUCCCGCCGCCCCGUCUUCAACCUCUGCCUCCGGCGCCUCCGUCUCCGCCAAGCUCCUGGCCGGCCCCCGGGAAGUUCUCUUGGUGUCUUCUGGCGCCCAUAGCUCUCCUAGGCGCCCCUUCUGCCCUCCCCGGCAAGCUUCUCUUGCCGGGGCCUCCUUGACCUACCUCCUGAACAGAGAAACAGGAGGGGGGAUUACGGGCAUCUUAUCUCUCAAUUUGUAAGCCCUCAGGCCUUAGCUGUAUUCAAAAUCUGUAAUCCUCUCUAUCAUGUUUUUCAUCCUCUAUGGACUUGUACUAAGCUUGGGUGUUUUUAAUGAAAAGAGGGGAACGCUUGCCGGACUAAGUCCUUUACUUGAUUUCGUGUCUUGUACGCUCCUACGCUUCUAGGGGGGCUUGCCGGAGCGAACACACUUGCUGAGUGCGGGACAUCAGUAGCCCGCUGGCGGUGUUGCUUCCGGCAAGCAACCUUGCCGGGCCAGUUGCGGCGCGCUUGUAUUUGUUGAGCGGACUCGGAAACAAACCAAGGGCACAACUUGGCCGCGACUCGGCUCCUCCGCGCACGGGUUUUACAAGACACGCUCGUUAAAGGACGUGGCCCGGCCUUCCCCCGGUCCAUAAGAGGAUGCAUGACGAGGGAUGAAAACUUAUCUGACUCUGCAGCCCCCUGGCGACAUUAGCUCGUCGGGGAGAAAUCUUAGCCUUCGCAGCCUCCAGCAACUCUGGCUCCGCCGAGAUCCAGGUGCUGGUGUGCUUUCUUUUGCCCUUGUCGUUGGCGCCGCGGCCUCCGGGGGCCCUGGCCUGUCGCGAAGGAGCUUCGACACUUGCAGCCCCCAACGAAGCUGGCUUGCUGGGGCCCGCGCGCCGGCGCGCCUCUCUGGCUUCUCCUUGUCCCUGUGAUUGCAGCCAUGAAAACAACUGAGAUAGCGCUAUAAUAAGCUAUUCUUUCAUGGUGCGACUCUACAACGCGAUGCCAUGCUUUGCCCUUCGUAUGUUUACACUCUACGCUUCUAGGGAACUUGCCGACGCUAACACACUUGCUGAGUGCGGGACAUCAGCAGCCCGCUGGCGGUGUUGUUUCCGGCAAGAAACCUUCUCAGGCUAGUUGCAGCGCACUUGAAUUGUUGAGCGGACUCGGAAACAAAUCAAGGGCGCAACUCAGCCGCGAGUUAGCUCCUCCGCGCACAAGUUUCUCAUACGAAGGGCGCCCUAUGGCAAGGCUUGUUAUGUUACGCCCUCUGCUUCGUUAUGUCCUUUGUACGUUCUUACCCUACGCUUCUAGGGAACUUGCCGGCGCUAACACACUUGCUGAGUGCGGGACGUCAGCAGCCUGCUGGCGGUGUUGUUUCCAGCAAGAAACCUUCUCGGGCCAGUGGCAGUGCGCUUGUAUUGUUGAGCGGACUCGGAAACAAAGCAAGGAAGCAACUUAACCACGAGUCGGUUCCUUCGUGCACAGGUCUUUCGUACAAAGGACGAACGCACAAGGAACAUAACAUAAAAAAAAGCAUAAGACUAAGAAGUGCUCUGUACAAAAACUCGGGUAACUUAGCUUUUCCAUCUUCAGCAAUCCGUCGAGGCCGUGCUUCUUCCCCGAUCCCCCCUGUAUGUUUUCAUCCUCACGCUUUCGAGGAAACCCCCCUCCCCCCGGCGCAAACACACUUGCUGAGUGCAGGACAUCAGCAGCCCGCUGGCGGUGUGGCCUCCGGUGGGAAGAACUCGUCGGGCUGGUUGCGGCGUACUCUUUUCUUGUACCGUUGAGCGGACUCGAAACGGAUCAACAGCGCAACCUAACCACGAUUCGUCCCCUCUGCAUAGGUUCUUCAUACAGGGUACGGGCUUUCGGAGAGCACAACUCAAAAGUUCGAAGUUUGGCAACUUUCUUGGCCUUACUGGCCGGCAGAGCUCGAUGGCACGCCCUCGACAGCAGCGCGGCACUCCGGAGAGGCGGGCUUGCUGGAGCGAACACCAGAGUCGUUCUUGCCGGGCUUAGUCCUUGGUUGGUCUGCCUUUGCCUUCUCGCACUUGCCGGUGGAGCUCGAUGGCGCGUCCUCGACGGCAGCGCAGCGCUCCGGGGAUAUGCGCUUGCCGGAGUGGGCACCAGAGCUGUCCUUGCCGGACUUAGCCUUCUUCUUCCCCCGGGGAGCUUCAGCGGCAAGUGGCUCGCGCUCUGCUGCGGCUGCUGCUUCCCGGUAGAUCUUGUCGGCACAGAUGAGCGCAUCCCUCUUGUCGCCUUGGAUAGAAAUGACACUCAUCGGGCCGGGCAUCUUGAGCACAUUGUAUGCGUGGUGAGAGGCCGCCAUGAACUUGGCGAGCGCGGGUCGGCCGAGUAUCCCAUUGUAGGGCAAGGGGAUAUCAGCUACGUCGAACGUGACCCUCUCAGUCCUGAAGUUCAAUUCGCUGCCAAAUGUCACCGGCAAUGUGAUCUUCCCCUUUGGUUGGCUCCUUCCCGGAUUUAUCCCUUGGAAGGUGCCAGUCUCUUCAAGCUCGCCGUCGGGGAUCUAGAGCUUCUUGAGUACUGCGGAGGAAAUCAAGUUCAGGCCGGCCCCGCCAUCAACCAGCAUCUUCGUGACCUUGAGGUUGCGGAUUGUUGGUGAAACCAACAUCGGCAAGCACCCAACCGCAAUGACGCAAUCAGGGUGGUCCUCAACGUCGAAGACGAUGGGCGUGCUGGACCACUUCAAAGGCUUGCGCGCCUCGACGGAUGGCUCCGCUGCUUUCACUUCUCGCACCCAUUGCUUGAGUUGGCGGUGCGAGGUGUGCAGAGAGGCACCGCCGUCAAUGCACAACACCUCUAUUGCCUUCUGAAACUCCUGGUCAUCAGUCUCAUCUUCCUCCACCUCAUCAUUCUCAUCUUCAACUUCGUCUUUGUCGCGGCCGCGGGGAGGCCUGUCUCCUUGCCGCGCCUUGGGCUUGCCACGGUGCCCUCCCCGGGCGGGAAGCUUCUUGCCGGAUCCUCAGCCACCUCCUUGGCCUCUCUCCUUAUCGCGGCGCUCGUAUUCAGCUUUCUGCAGCUCCGCCAUCUGCUCUACUUUCUUGCAGGUUUGGAGAUCAUGGCCCUUGGUACGGUGGAUCUUGCAAUAUCGCUUGCCGGAGCUAUCCUGCUUGUCGGCGGCUACCACAGCCUCGCCGGAGUCGUCGGUCUUGGCCUUGUCGGAGCCGCCUCCGUUGCCGGAAUGCUCAACAGCUAGUACAUCCUUAGCCUUUCUCUUCCUAUUGCUCCGCCUCCGGUUCUUCCUUGCCGGGGCGGCGUCCUCACUGUCAGAUCCUUCUGCUCCGGCAACUUCUCCGGGGAUCUUCCUCCCCUCCUCAGCCCGUGCACACUUGUCGGCCAGAGCGUAGAGCUCACUGACAUCUCUAAUUUUGCACAUCGCCAUCUCCUCCCUCAUCCUGCGGUUACGCACGUUCUGAUGAAACGCGCUAAUAACCGCGGCAGGGUGGACGUCUGGGAUUUUGCGCUGCACCUGGCUGAACCUUUGUAUAUAUUUGCGCAGGGGCUCCCCCUCCUUCUGGACGAGUAAGUGAAGGUCACUCUCCUGGCCAUGAGGCUUGUGGCCACCCGUGAAGGCGCCGACAAACUGAUGACACAGGUCCGCCCAUGAAGAGAUGGAGCCGUCCGGCAAGUGCAUGAGCCAAGAUCUGACGUUAGGCUUGAGCACCAGCGGGAAGUAGUUGGCGAGGAUCUUCUCGUCGCGUCCUCCGGCAGCCUGCACCGUGAUGGUGUAGAUGCUGAGGAACUCCGACGGAUGUAUCCUGCCAUCAUACUUCUCGGGCACAUCUGGCUUGAAGUUCUUGGUUUUGGGCCACUGGACUUGCCGUAGCUCGUGGGUGAAUGCAGGGCAACCUGCCGCGUAUGGCAAGUCGCCUGGUUUCCCGGGUGCGUGCAUGUCGACGGCGAGCCCAGCGCGCUGGUCAGACUGACGUCGCGCUUCUCUUUGGCGCUCGAUGCGAGUGCGAGCAUCUUCGUGUUGCCAUUCUUGGAGAACGUGGCGCUGAUCACGGCGAGUUCGCGGGUCCGACGACGCGGUGGAGUCGGCGUCAAGGUUGGUCCGGCGAGCUGGUGACCUUGGCCUUCGGGGCUGGGAGCGCACGGAGGCGGCACCCUCAGCGGUCCUGUCGGCGCCGGCCUGCGCCGGGGCGUCGUGCCGGGGCCUCGACGCGCUCGGUCGCCGGGGCUUGUCGCCGUUGGCGAAGCCGAUGAGGCUGUGUAUGGUCAUCCUCCAGUCGUCGAUCUUGUGCGGUGCUGGAGGGUAAUCUAGAAGCAGCUGGGCUCGGGCCAGCGCUUCCUCUGCUGUCUUGGGUGGCGGCGGCAACGAGCGACGCGGGGAGCGGGAUGUGCUCAGACUCCCAACUGGAUUGGGAGGAGCAACACCUCGUCCGGGCGAUCGUACCUCACUCGCGCCAGCAUGCGGGCGCGCAUGCUAACCUCGAGCGUCCCGUGACCCAGCGGCUUGGCCUUGCUCCAACGCAAGCACGGUGCUGGGAGCACCGGGGCGUUGUUGACCUUGCACCUCCUGGGAAGGGUGCGGCGUCUGCACCGUUGCCGACGCUUGCGGGGCCUUGUUCUUGGAUCUGGUGACGACGCGAGACCCACCGGCGGCACCCGCUCCUCCGCCGGCGUCCACCCCACCGCCCGCUUGCUCCGGCGGUGGUGGUGGAAUGGAUGUAGACGGAGCGGCCACCUCCGAAGGCUUCUUCUUCGGUGGCAUGUUGACGAUGAUGCUGAUGUAGCGCGCGUGGAGACCGGAUCAGAUGCUCACGACCUCGACGCCCCCCUACCUGGCGCGCCAAAGAUGUCGGGGCUCUCUGCGGCCUCGAGCACCUAUGGGGCACUAGGGGCCCCUUCUGGUUCGGCAAGGGAGCGGGGGCCGCGCGCAGAGCAGAUCGAGGUCGAACGUGCGGGGGAGACGGGCGAUUUUUACCCAGCUUCGGGGCUCUCCGGAGAGAUAAAACCCCUACUGCUGCCUUUUUGCUUGUUAUUUGAUCUUGCUCGAGCGUACGAGCGUAUGGUGGUGUCUAGGUAUCGAAUGGAUCGAACCCCUUCUACGUGCGCAUGGGCCUCCCUUUUAUAGUCUAAGGGGGUCACCAACAGGUGGCAGCGUAGGAAGAGGGGGUAGAAAGGUAAAUUUGCGGGUUGGUACAACAGUGCACAACAGUGCCCCUACCUAACUCUGACGGCAGGGGAAAAGGGCAUUAAAUGCCCGUCCGGUCGCCCCAACAGUGCAGGAGGAGUGACCGUUAAGUGAGCCACCGGUUGCCACGAUGGCAUCUCUGUCAGCUCCGUUUGCCACCUCGCUCCGCAUGGCUGUGUGGUGCCUCGCCACGUGCCCUUGGGAUGGCCUUGUGACGACGCGUCACUGGGUGUGCCGGGAUUUGGGUGGCAGCCUUGCCGCGGCAAGUGCCUUGCCGCGGCCCUUCUCUUGUUGCGCCGGCAAGCUUGCCGGCCGUCGGGCCUUGCCGGGGCGCGCGGGGCGCCGCGGCAAGUCUUCUGAUGAUGCCUCGGUUGGCCUUUCCGGCAAGCUCCUCUUGCCGGGGUCUUCGUUUUUCUUGGUUAUUACUUUGUUCUUGAAUGGCGGUAAUAAGGAGCAGUGGAGGGCCUUGGCGGGCGUCCGGCAAGCCUUGCCGCGGGGUGCUGUGACUGCCCGUGCACUAGUUCGGGGUACUAAGGUACCCCUACUUUAGUACACCGACAUGCUGCCACUCAGACGAUCCCUGCUAGGGUCUUCUCUAUGCGCUCUGUUCCGAUCGACCAGGCCUUGAACGAGAAUAGAACUCGCAUUGAAGCCUAGCUCCCUUGGAUCGACCGGUGCUCUGCGCUCGUCACUGUGACAGCGUCUAUCAUCAUUCUGCCGAGGCACAUAUGACGCACUCCUCGAAGGAGGCAUAGGCACUCGAUGACGAUUGUCACGGUCGAGCUGACGAUCAUACUGUCCACAGCCUUCAUGACGCAAGGGCGAUCUUGGGUUGUGGGCCGACUGAACUGUAUCUGCUACUCUGGAUCUGCUGUGAAUCCUAUUCUGCGACUGAGAUACUUCAAUGUUCUGCUCUCCUGCUGCCCGGAGCAAGGCCCGAAUCUGCAUUAACCCUCUGCCAGCCUCCGACUGGGAAGGUUGGACCGACUCUGCAAUUUGUGCCGCAGCCGUGAGGUUCUGAAUCGGAGUACACCAUACCUUAGGUGGAGGCAGGAAAAGCUGCCGUCGACUGGACUCAGGGAUACGCUCCCGAGCCCGCUCGUCGAGAGUGCGCUGCAGGUUCUCCAGUCGAGUGCGCUCAGCCAAAUUAGCCAAGCGCGCCUCCUCCAAGGCUUGAGCCUUGGGGGUUUCUCCAAUAAUGGGCGUGUGGAGUGCAUCCAUGUUGCGGCGACGAAGUUCUUCUCUCUGAUGCGAAGAAAGGGGUCCGGGAUGAUAUUCCUCAUGGACGCGCGAUGGAUCGCCGCCACCAUUUUCGCCGUCUUCACGAUGGAAGCCAGGUGGGCCGCGCGGACCAUUGACCAUCAGGACUUCAGCCGCAGGGUCGCUGCUAUCGCACUCGGAUGUAGUCUCCGUGGAGCCAGUCGACAGAUCGAACAGGCCGUGGAGAGUUUCGUCGGGCUCGAUUGCCGCGACUUGAUGGGUGGCCGAACGCCGAGCCACCACACAUUUCACCCACCACUGAAGUCGCGAUCGACCGGAUCGCUUGCAGCGGUGAACAGCGGGGAGGGAAGACACCAUCGGAGCCGACUGAUACUGGGUCGACGGCUGCCAGAGAAGGACGCCGUGAACGCAUGCGCGAAAGUGUUUCGCCCCUUGGACGGGGAGCGCCUCAACAUCAAGCAGAGCUUCCUGAAGCCACGCCGACUCGUCGGUGACGAAACGAGCGCGCCGAGAUGGAUCUCACGACCCUCAGCCAAUCCACCGCCAGAAACCAUGAUGAUGAUCGGAAAAACUUGCAACUUCACCAACAAGUCGCUAAGACACCUGCCCCACGGUGGGCACCAACUGUCGUGGUUCUAAGACUGACAGUAGAAAGGGGGGUAGGUAUGGAGAGGCAAUAUCUCAGCUAUGGCGAAGGUGUACACACGGGUUUUACGAGUUCAGGCCCUUCUCGAAGGAAGUAAUAACCCUACGUCUCGGUGGUCGAUUGGAUUAUAUGUGUGAUGUUACAGGGGGUGCGAACCCUUGUGCCAGAGGAGGAGGGUGGCUUAUAUAGUGUUCACCAGGACCUUCUCCGUCCUCCAUUACAAGGGACUUGAAGUACAUAAAGUGGGGGCGUUACUGGUAACGCCAGCCUUAAGUGCUGUCAAUGACCUUUAAGACUACGGAGUGAAUGCCUGCCCGUUGUAACGCUGAGUGACUCCUGGUCUUCGGAAGGUCGAGUGAUUCUCUGGAUGGUCGAGUGACAGUAGGUAGGAAGAUUCCCGAGUGACAUGAUGUCGAGUGGAUUGCACUCGACAUCUUCGACCGGGGGUCUCAUGCUGCCUCUUGAACUUCUUGUCUUCUUGGGUAGUGACCUUGGGUAGGACGUAUAGGUCAGGCCUAUGACCCUAACCUAGGUUUGUAUCCUCAUCAGGUACCGGCCACCUCCGGCGAUGCCCGGCAUACCGGCAUGCUCAGGAGAGCAUGCCGCAUCCUCCGAGGUGCGCCACGACCGCAGGGGUGGCUAGACGCGAGCGCAUCAUCGGCCGCGGUGGGCGAGGCCGACGGUAGUGAUGGAACUCGAGGGAACAACCAUGGGGAGGAGAGGAAGAAGCAUGGGAGGGGCUCGCGGUGAUGGUGGAGGUGCUCUAGUGCAGUCUAGAGGGGAAGAGGAGGACUGGUGGGUGCGAAUUUAGGCGGAGGCCGACGGCAAGGC